GCAUCGAUGAAGAACGCAGCGAAAUGCGAUAACUAAUGUGAAUUGCAGAAUUCAGUGAAUCAUCGAGUCUUUGAACGCACAUUGCGCCCUCUGGUAUUCCGGAGGGCAUGCCUGUCCGAGCGUCAUUGCUGCCCUCAAGCCCGGCUUGUGUGUUGGGCCCCGUCCCCCCCGCCGGGGGGACGGGCCCGAAAGGCAGCGGCGGCACCGCGUCCGGUCCUCGAGCGUAUGGGGCCUCGUCACCCGCUCUAGUAGGCCCGGCCGGCGCCAGCCGACCCCCAACCUUUAAUUAUCUCAGGUUGACCUCGGAUCAGGUAGGGAUACCCGCUGAACUUAAGCAUAUCAAUAAGCGGAGGA
rnacentral:rRNA from 1 species